GCACUAGCGCCCGUCCGCGGGCGUGCGAGGUGUCCCCGCGUGUGCGCGCGGGCCUGCAGCUGCUCGGGGGUCGCGGUACCGCUGCCGGGUGUGGGCGUGCGGGGUGGCGCCGCGGCCCCUGCCGCCCGCUGGCCGCAGCGCGGUCCCGCAGUGCCAGCACCAAACAGGUGCGGUAGCACCGCUGUCGGGGGCGUGCUCGGCAGUGCCCCUUGCUCGCUGCAACAUGGUUGUACCUUGCCGGUUGUCUGUGCCUGCCUGAGGCUGGUAGAACUUUGGCCCACGUAAGGUGUGCAAGACUCCAGUGUAUUCUUUUGAGUGGGUGACAGAUGAGCCAACAGAUACUUACAGAGGAGGAAGCCACAUGAGAGAGUGAGAAAGAAGAGUUUGAGCUAGAAAUUCUCCCUAGCAGAACCAAGAACAGGAGCUGUGAUGGAAGAAGUCUUCUUGGCCCAUAUGAGUCCAGAGUGGUGUUUCUUCCUAGCAACUGGAGACCAGGUGUACAUACAAUGCUGCCAAAGGAACUCUCUCACUGCAAUGGCAAGGUCUGUUCUCAGGGCUGUUAACAACGCAAAUGGCAGUGAGAGCAGAAGGAUCAGACACCUGGAUCUCUGCAGGACACAUCAUGAACAGGAAGCAGCCAUGCACCGGAAGCAGAUGACACCACACAGCUGGCAGCUUCGCAGAGACUAAAUGCAGAUGAGGGGUAGGGAGGCAUGAGUAUUAUUUUUUAGCUUUUAAUGUCUGGCAAGUGGAUGGUGAGAGGGCUAUAUGUUAAUGUAAUGGUGGAGGUAAGGAGCUGGAUUUAGAGCACAUGUUAUGUAGCUGUAUGUAUUGUUCUGUUGAGAUAGUGUCAAUGAAAACAUUCUACAUGUUCCGUGGGAGUCCUUUCAGAAAACAGAGACAGGACGCAAUUGAUGUGAGCCAAUAUCCCAGAUCGUAUGUGUACCCUUGGAGUCUCACGGCAUAUGGAGCUGCUCCAUGGUUGGGCAAAAACACCCCUUUUCUGACUAGUUCAUGCUGGCUUCCAUUGUGACCUGUGCCCGC